rnacentral:rRNA from 1 species
GAUGAACGCUAGCUACAGGCUUAACACAUGCAAGUCGCGGGACCGGCGCACGGGUGAGUAACGCGUAUCCCACCUGCCCUUCACCACGGGAUAACCCGGCGAAAGUCGGACUAAUACCGUAUGGUGAAGGAUGGGGAUGCGUCCGAUUAGCUUGACGGCGGUGUAACGGCCCACCGUGGCUACGAACGGGAGGGGUUCUGAGAGGCAGGUCCCCCACACUGGAACUGGGACACGGUCCAGACGCGUACGGGAGGCAGCAGUGAGGAAUAUUGGUCAAUGGGCUUAAGCCUGAACCAGCCAAGUAGCGUGCAGGACGACGGCCUAUGGGUUGUAAACUGCUUGUAUGCGGGGAUAGGUACCGCAUGAAUAAGGACCGGCUAAUUCCGUGCCAGCAGCCGCGGUAAUUC